rnacentral:rRNA from 1 species
CCCAAGGUCCCGGGCGCCUCAGACAUCUGCUAGUUUUGCCCCAUUACGGUGAUCAAUGUGAUCUUCCGCAUUCUCGCAAACGGGUACACCAAUAGGGUGGCCCCUUUGGCUGGCCGCAUCACUCACCUGGACCAAUUCGCCUUUAUUCAGGGCCGGUAUAUCUUAGAUGGGGUCUUGGUCUUUCACGAAGUCAUGCACGAGGUCUGGACCAAAAACAUCAAAGCAGUAUUCCUGAAGAUUGACUUCCAUAAGGCGUACAACAUAGUUAGUUGGCCCUUCCUUCGGGAAGUGUUGCCUAGAAAAGGGUUUGACGAUCGAUGGGUCUCCCGGGUUAUGCAGAUGGUGUCGUUUGGGCGCACCGCGGUGAACAUUAAUGGGGAAAUCAGACCCUAUUUCCCCCACUGUAAGGGCAUUUAUCCCUAA